GGCAUGAUUAUAUCUCACUACAACCUUGACCUCCUGGACCCAACUGAUCCUCCUGCCUCAGCUUCCUGGGUAGCUGGAACUAUACGUGUACACUACCAUGUCUGGCUAAUUUUUUAAUUUACUUGUAGAGACGAGGUCUCACUGUGUUGCUCAGUCUGGUCUCCUGCCUCUGCCUCUGAAAGUGCUGGGAUUACAGAUAUGAGUCACGGUGCCCAGCCUAUUUUAUUUUUUAUUUUAAUUUCUUUGCUUAAGUGUAUUCAUUUAUUCUUUUGUUCAACAUAUAGGAACCAUCUACAGUGGAAUUGAGUGAAGCUUACGCCAAAAGCAAAGAAAGCAACUUUGUCCCCCUAAAAUGUGCUUUGAGCUUCAUCGGUUCCUUAAAUCUCAAGAUGGGAGAAGUUGCUUCUGGUGGUUGGUUCAGCGUCAUCAGGCAGCUAGAAUGCAACGAGACGACUGCAUUGCUUCAUCACCCUUUCGUGAACAUCGUCAUCACGCAGGAGGAGGACAUUCUGACUCAAACACCUUUGCUGUCAUUGCAAAUGCAAUUUACAGUUCAGAAAUGUAUCCAAUCGGGAUGACGCAGAAGAAAGGAGAGCAAAAUUUGAAAUUCCAAAUUUAAAUGGAAUCACCAUCUGGUUUAUCUUUUAUAAUUAAUGACUCCAUGUACCGUCACUGAUAGUUUCAAAAUUCUAAAUCCCAAAUCUGAG
rnacentral:lncRNA from 1 species